ensembl:snoRNA SNORA63 Small nucleolar RNA SNORA63
AUGCAGGUAAAGUUACAAUGUAGCUGUGAAGUGCUGUGUUGUCGUUCCCCCUGCAUAAAACAAAAUUGUCUCUAUUCUAUCUUUGUCUGUUUUGAUUUCGUAGCAGACAAAGACGCUUGGUUUCAUACAU